GGAUGGAGACGAGCUGGGAAGGAGGGCACAGGGCGCGUCCCGGUGCGGCCUGCUGCAGCCCAGCCUGCCCACGCAGCGGCACAGUGCGGCCCUGUGUGCAGGCCCUGGCUGCGCACAGCUCGGGGAACGCUGCUGCUCUGCUGCCCAGCGCCUCUUACCCAGCAGAGCAGCCUUGCAGCGCGCUGUCUGCGUGUCCCUGUGGCUGUCUGUCCCCGUGUCCCUGUGACCCCGUGUCUGUGUCCCCAUGUCCGUGUGUCCCUGUCCUCAUGUGUCCAUCUGUCCCCUUGUCCGUGUGUCCCUGUAUCCCCAUGUCCCUGUGUCCCCACGUCCAUCUGUCCCCAUGUCCUUCUGUCCCUGUAUCUGGGUCCCUGUGUCCGUGUGUCCCCAUGUCCCCAUGUCCGUGUGUCUGUCCCGUUGUCCGAGUGUCCCUAUAUCCAAGUGUCCUUGUGUGUCCCCAUUUCCGUGUGUCCCCCUGUCUGUCUGUCCCCGUGUCCAUGUGUCCCCGUGUCCAUGUGUCCCCAUGUAUCCAUGUGUCCCCGUGUCUGCAUGUCCCCAUGUCCCCAUGUCCAUCUGUCCCCAUAUCUGUGUCCGUGUGUCCCUGUGUCUGUCCCCGUAUCUGUGUUCCCAUGUCUGUCCCCGUGUGUCCCCAUGUCUGUAUAUCAGAGUCCCCGUGGGUCCCUGUGUCCGUGUGUCCCCGUGGGCACUACUGGGGCACCACUGUGGCACAAAUGACACUGCCAUGGCACUAUGGGGGCACAGUGGUUGCACUAUGGGGGCACUAUGGCAGCACUGUGGUGGCACUGCUGUGUCACAAAUGUCACUGUGGUGGCACACAUUGCACCAUGGUGGCACAAAUGACACCAUCGUGGCACUAUGGGGGCACGAUGGUGGCACAUGGAGCACUAUGGUGGCACUAUGGGGGCACUGUUGUGUCAAAGAUGUCACUGUGGUGGCACAAAUUGCACCAUGGUGGCACAAAUGACAGUAUGGGGGCACAUGGUGCGCUAUGGGGGCACUAUGCGGGCAAUGUUGUGUCACAAAUGUCACUGUUAUGGCACAAGUUGCACCAUGGUGGCACAAAUGACAGUAUUGGGGCACUAUGGGGGCACUGCUGCGUCACAACUGACACCGUGGUGGCACCGUGGUGGCAGAGCUUAGGCACUACUCAUGGCACUAUGGUGUCACAAGGAUGGCACCACGGUGGCACAAAGGGCACUAUGGAGGCACUAUGGUGGCACUAUGGGGGCACUAUGGGGACACUGUGGUGACACUGUUGUGUCACUGAUGUGUCACUGAUGUCACUGUGAUGGCACACAUUGCACCAUGGUGGCACAAAUGACAGUAUGGAGGUACUAUGGUGGCACUGUUGUGGCACUGUUGUGGCACAAAGGGCACUAUGGGGGCACUGUGGUUGCACAACUGAGGUGUCAUGGCACAAUGGUGGCACAAAGGGCACAACGGUGGCACAAUGGUGGCAUUAUUGUGGCACAAAUGGCACUGCUGGGUCACAAAGGGCACCACGGUGGCACUAUGGUGGUACAACUGAGCGUGUCAUGGCACAAUGGUGGCACAAAGGGCACUAUGGUGACAUUGUUGCAUCACCAAUGGCACCAUGGUGGCACAUGGAGCACUAUGGUGGCACCAUGGUGGCACCAAUGCUGGUGACGUGGCACGACGUGGCACUAGGGUGGCUCUGUGGUGGCAGCGAUUUGCAGACAGCACCAGACAUCCCCCCUCCUCCCUCCCACCCUUCUCUCCUCCCUCCUUCUUCCCCAUCCUCCUCCUCUUUCCCCCCUUUCCUCCAUCCUUCUCUUUCUCUCUCCUGUCCUCCCCCUCCCCUUCUAUCUCCUUCUCCUCCCCUUCUAUCCCCUCCCUUCUCCCUCCUGUCCUCCCCUCACCAUUCUCCCUCCAUCCUUCUCUCCCCCAUCCUCCUCCCUCCCACCCUUCUCUCCUCCAUCCUUCUCCCCCAUCCUCUUCCCCCAACCGUUCCUCCCACCCUCCCUCCUUCUCCCCUCCGUCCUCCCUCUAUCCACCCUUCUCCCUCCCGUCUUCUCUGCCUCCUGUUCUUCUCCCCCUUCUCCUUCCCUCCUUCUCCCUCCUGUCCUCCCCCAUCCUUCUCUCUCUCUCCUGUCCUCCCCCUCCCCCUUCUAUCCCCUUCCUUCUCCCUCCCUCCUCCUCCCCCACCCUUCUCUCCUCCAUCCUUCUCCCUCCCUCCCUUUUUCCUCCCUCCUUCUCCCCUCCCACACUUCUCCCUCUCGCAUUCUCCCU
ensembl:lncRNA